rnacentral:rRNA from 1 species
UACAGAGGGGGCAAGCGUUGUUCGGAAUUACUGGGCGUAAAGGGCGCGUAGGCGGCCUGUUAAGUCGAACGUGAAAUCCCCGGGCUCAACCCGGGAACUGCGUCCGAUACUGGCAGGCUUGAAUUCGGGAGAGGGAUGCGGAAUUCCAGGUGUAGCGGUGAAAUGCGUAGAUAUCAGGAGGAACACCGGUGGCGAAGGCGGUUCUCUGGGCAUGUCCUGACGCUGAGGAGCGAAAGUGUGGGGAGCGAACAGG